rnacentral:pre_miRNA from 1 species
GCUUAUGGACAAGCAAAGAAAGUGCUUUCUUGCAAUGGCAUCUUCUUCUGGUGAAGAUACUGUGAA